rnacentral:rRNA from 1 species
GACGAACGCUGGCGGCAUGCUUAACACAUGCAAGUCGAACGGAAAGGCCCUGCUUUUGUGGGGUGCUCGAGUGGCGAACGGGUGAGUAACACGUGAGUAACCUGCCCUUGACUUUGGGAUAACUUCAGGAAACUGGGGCUAAUACCGGAUAGGAGCUCCUGCUGCAUGGUGGGGGUUGGAAAGUUUCGGCGGUUGGGGAUGGACGCGCGGCUUAUCAGCUUGCUGGUGGGGUAGUGGCUUACCAAGGCUUUGAAGGGUAGCCGGCCUGAGAGGGUGACCGGCCACAUUGGGACUGAGAUACGGCCCAGACGGCUACGGGAGGCAGCAGUGGGGAAUAUUGCACAAUGGGCGGAAGCCGGAUGCAGCAACGCCGCGUGCGGGAUGACGGCUUUCGGGUUGGAAACCGCUUUCGCCUGUGACGAAGCGUGAGUGAGGGUAAUGGGUAAAGAAGCACCGGCUAACUACGU